rnacentral:rRNA from 1 species
AGCAGUGGGGAAUAUUGCACAAUGGGCGGAAGCCUGAUGCAGCAACGCCGCGCGAGGGAAGACGGUUUUCGGAUUGUAAACCUCUGUCUUUGGUGACGAACAACUGACGGUAGCCUAGGAGGAAGCCACGGCUAACUACGUGGCAGCAGCCGCGGUAAUA